ensembl:misc_RNA Metazoa_SRP Metazoan signal recognition particle RNA
GCUGGACAUGGUGGCGGAUGCCUGUAAUCCCAGCUACUUGGGAGGCUGAGGCAGGAGAAUCCCUUGAGCCCAGGAGGCGGAGGUUGCAGUGAGCCAAGAUUGCACCACUGCACUCCUGCCUGGGCAAUAGAGGAAGACUCUGUCUCAA